ensembl:lncRNA
UGGGUGCAGGCACAGAGGUGGUGAGGUUCCGGCUGGGGUUUUGCCAGAGGUCACUGAGCAAAACUUUGAUUAACUUCAAGGUCUCCAGCGAUUAAGAUGAUGAUGAUCGAACACUUACUAUGUGCCAGACCCUGUUCUAAGCUCUUUGCAGCCAUUGAGUCUGCAUCACAGCUCCUCGAGAUCAUUUCAAAAUUCUACACUUGAGGCCCUUUGUGAACUGAGACCUGGGCCAGAAUGGUCUCUUGGCUCCCCUGGUGAAACAGGAUGCCUGCCCCUGCUUCUGAGAGUGUACCUACCACGUGCUCAGGACUGUACUAGAUGCUGAGGAUACAGCUGUGAACAUGGCAGACUGAGUCCCUGCCUGGCAUCAGGGCUCCUGCUCCAAACUCUGUAAAAGGAGACGAGGAAUUGCCGACAAGGGAUCCAUCACGUUUGGCCAAAGUGUGCGGAGGUGGUGAAGAGAGGUGUAGGGGUCCUUCCUCAUUACACCAGGAGCCACUGGGGGUCCAACCCAGGUCCCAUCCUGUGGAAACCCCCUGGAAUCUGCAGGAACCCAGGCUUGAUCAGCAUGAAACUGCAGGGGAACCCAACCAAAUGUCCACAGGAAGACUUCUCCUGGGGACGAUGCAGCACCCGACAUCAUUAAUCUCUUGUGGCCAUUCCACUGCCUCCGUCUUCCAGACCCUGGCUGCAGUUCUGGUCCAGGGGGCCAACACAGCCUCCAGGUGGAAGUCGUUGUCUCAGUAUUAACUCUUGCAAGGAGAGUGGUAGACGGUAGACUCUUCCAGUGCAGGCACCCUGUCCCUCAGGGGAAGGAGCCACUUCUGGAGGUCAGUCCCCUCAGAUGACAUCUUUUUCUUAGACCUUUCCAGAGACAUUUCUCCCUUGUCCACCUUUGAUUUUCUCUAUGACCGUGCCUGUAACUUUUUCUCCUUGGCUGUGACAGGAAUGUUCUUUUGAUUUGGGUAAGCAUAUUCACAGAGUCACUUAUAUGCUUCUAGUUUCUAGCCUCUAGUGCUCAGCUUUAAAUGAUGGCACCAGGCCCCCACAAUGUCUCCGUGAAGCAGCUUGACAGGUGGUACUUUGGAAGGUAAUGGAGGAAUGGUUACCUUCUUCCAAGGUUUUAGGCUGUUGUUGCAUUGAGCGUUCUCCUGUGGACGGGAUGCGUUGUCAUCCUUCAUAGACCUUUGUCCUUCAGUUCCCUUUGCUGAGGUUCUUGAUAAAGUGGAUGUGCUUGGCUCACUCGAAGCCCGCUCUUCCUCUCUAGUGUCUACAGAUACCACUCAAAUUUGAGUCAUGUCUGCUUCCCCUGACUUCUCCGUGGAGGUCCACUCCUUGCCUUUUGCAUUUUCCAUAGUGUGAAAAGAGUUUAGAUUGAUAAAAAUAAAAUUCUUCUGACUUCUGGCUCAAGAUUGCUCUUUUAAACUCUCCUCCCACUUUCUACAACCCAAAGGCACUCUCAAUUCCAUCAUUCUUUAAAUGGUGUAUAUUUAAUAUAUACUUAUUAGAAAAGCAAUAAAUCAGAUGCUUUACCCUAGAUGUCAAUUUUUAAAUCCUUGGAGUGCUAAGGUGGUGACAAAAAGAAUAGUUGGACAGGUAGCAAAGCCCUCACGAAGGGGUUAAAUUUCAGGGGAACUGGCUUUAAGUGGUGAGGCCGCAUUCCCCUAGAAUUCCUUACGGGGUGAGAGGAACACAGCUGAUCCUCACGUGUUUCACUCACUGACUGAAUCUUGCCGGGAUAAGGGUGUGAAUCUGAGCUUGAAUUCAGAGCUUUUGCUGACUUUGUAAAACUCGACUUGUGCCCCAUUCUCUCUCCUGCUGUGUGGCCC